GGGGUGGGGAUGAUGAAGGCAGGGGCUGCUCCUGUAGCUGAGAUCUGGGGUUGACCUUCGGAGUCAGUGUGAGGAGGUCAGAGUGCAGUGUGAGUGGAAGAAAGACCUUCAUUCUGGAGGAUGCUCUGCUUGGCCUGGAUGCUGCCCAUCAGAAGCCCCAGCAAGACUGUUUUCAGCAGGAAUUCCCCAGGUUUGAUGACAUCAUUCUGCUCGCUGUCCCAGACCAACUGGAGUGUCUCCUUCCUGAGCAUUCAGCCUACAAUCCCAAGGGACUGAGUUGGCUCCAGUGCAGUAUACAUGGAAGUGGUACUUGCUCUUUGGGGCUUGGCCUCAGAACUAUCCUGGCUCAGGCAAUGUGGGCAGGAGAGAAAAGGCCAGAGGGAUGGUUCUCAGGAGAACACAGUAUGAAGUUGCUUACCUGCAGUCAACAAAAUGUCCUCAGACAUCCACUUCGGGGUGUAUUCCACUGCUACUGUGUAUGCAUUCAGCGAGGCAUCUUAUCUAUGUGACCAUUCAGAUACUAUACACAGGUUCAUACCAAGAAUAUGCUAAGGCAACUGACUAUAUAUACUGUGUCAACUA
rnacentral:lncRNA from 1 species